rnacentral:rRNA from 1 species
ACUCCUACGGGAGGCAGCAGUAGGGAAUCUUCCACAAUGGGCGCAAGCCUGAUGGAGCAACACCGCGUGAGUGAAGAAGGGUUUCGGCUCGUAAAGCUCUGUUGUUAAAGAAGAACACGUAUGAGAGUAACUGUUCAUACGUUGACGGUAUUUAACCAGAAAGUCACGGCUAACUACGUGCCAGCAGCCGCGGUAAUACGUAGGUGGCAAGCGUUAUCCGGAUUUAUUGGGCGUAAAGAGAGUGCAGGCGGUUUUCUAAGUCUGAUGUGAAAGCCUUCGGCUUAACCGGAGAAGUGCAUCGGAAACUGGAUAACUUGAGUGCAGAAGAGGUAGUGGAACUCCAUGUGUAGCGGUGGGAUGCGUAGAUAUAUGGAAGAACACCAGUGGCGAAGGCGGCUACCUGGUCUGCAACUGACGCUGAGACUCGAAAGCAUGGGUAGCGAACAGGAUUAGAUACCCCUGGUAGGAUAGCG